rnacentral:rRNA from 1 species
GACGAACGCUGGCGGCGCGCCUAACACAUGCAAGUCGAGCGAUCGGCCCCGGUAUCCUUGGAUACUGGGGUACGGAGCGGCGGACGGGUGAGUAACGCGUACCUGACCUACCCCUCAGAGGGGGAUAGCCACGGGAAACCGUGGGUAAUACCCCAUACGCUCCUGCUGGGGCUAAGUUAAUGAUAGUUGACUUGGCUAAGGCAGGAGGAAAGCGUAUAGCGCUGAGGGAUGGGGGUGCGUCCCAUCAGCUAGUUGGUGAGGUAAUGGCUCACCAAGGCAAAGACGGGUAACCGGCCUGAGAGGGUGGACGGUCACACCGGGACUGAGACACGGCCCGGACUCCUACGGGAGGCAGCAGUGGGGAAUAUUGGGCAAUGGGGGGAACCCUGACCCAGCGACGCCGCGUGGUGGAAGAAGCCCUUCGGGGUGUAAACACCUGUACAGGGGGAAGAGGAAGGACGGUACCCCUGGAGGAAGGGACGGCUAACUACGUGCCAGCAGCCGCGGUAAUACGUA